GAAAGUAUGCAAGGGCGUACGGGGGAUGCCUAGGCUUAUGGAGGCGAUGAAGGACGUGUUAAGCUGCGAAAAGCGCCGGGGAUCUGCAAAAAAGAAUCGAUCCGGCGAUAUCCGAAUGGGGCAACCCGUCAGUCUGAAGGACUGUCGUUCCGAGUAAUCGGAGAGCCAACCCGCUGAACUGAAACAUCUAAGUAGGCGGAGGAAAAGAAAGAAAACUCGAUUCCCUUAGUAGCGGCGAGCGAAGAGGGAAUAGCCCAAACCAUGUAUGUUACGGCAUAUAUGGGGUUGUAGGACCACGACAUGACUUGGACAACGAACUGGAAGGUACUGGAAAGUGCCACCGCAGAGGGUGAAAGUCCCGUACAGGUAAGUUAGUUCAACGAUAGUGGUAUCCUGAGUAGGGCGGGACACGUGAAAUCCUGUCUGAAUCCGCGGGGACCACCCCGCAAGGCUAAAUACUCCCAUAAGACCGAUAGUGAACCAGUACCGUGAGGGAAAGGUGAAAAGUACCCCGAACAGGGGGGUGAAAAAGAACCUGAAACCGUACGCCUACAACCUGUCGGAGCCCCUUCGUGGGGUGACGGCGUGCCUUUUGCAUAAUGAGCCUACGAGUUACUCAUGACCGGCGAGGUUAAGAUUCCGAAGGAUCGAAGCCGAAGCGAAAGCGAGUCUGAACAGGGCGCUAUAGUCGGUUGUGGUAGACGCGAAACCUUGCGAUCUACCCUUGGCCAGGAUGAAGGUGAGGUAGAACUCACUGGAGGUCCGCACCGGUAAACGUUGAAAAGUUUUCGGAUGAGCUGAGGGUAGGGGUGAAAGGCUAAUCAAGCUGGGAAAUAGCUCGUACUCCCCGAAAUGCCUUUAGGGGCAGCGUUGACGUAGUAUACUGGAGGUAGAGCUACUGAUUGGAUGCGGGGGCUUCACCGCCUACCAAAUCCUGACAAACUCCGAAUGCCAGUAGAAUGAUUUAGAGCAGUGAGCGGCUGGGUGCUAAUGUCCGGCCACGAGAGAGGAACAACUCAGACCAGCAGCUAAGGCCCCGAAGAGUAUACUAAGUUGAACUAACGAUGUGCGACUGCAGCGACAGCUAGGAUGUUAGCUUGGAAGCAGCUAUUCAUUUAAAGAGUGCGUAACAGCUCACUAGUCGAGCGGUUGUGCGUGGAUAAUAAACGGGCAUCAAGCGUAUUGCCGAAGCUUUGGACUCCGCACAGGAGUGGUAGGGGAGCAUUCUGCCGGCGUCGAAGCGGAUUCGUAAGGAUCCGUGGAGCUUGCAGAAAAGCAAAUGUAGGCAUAAGUAACGAUAAGGCAGGCGAGAAACCUGCCCGCCGCAAGACCAAGGUUUCCUGAUCAACGUUAAUCGGAUCAGGGUUAGUCGGGCCCUAAGGGCCAGCCGAAAGGCGAUGCUCGAUGGACAAUCGGUUAAUAUUCCGAUACCCUCUUAAUUGGCGAUGGAGAGACGAAGGAGCGUAAGAUCCGCCUACUGACGGAAUAGUAGGUUGAAGGCCGUAGGUAUAGAGUGAGGUUAAUAGCUUCACUUUGCUGAGAGCCGACAGUACAGAGACCCUUCGGGGAAUUUGAUAGCGAUCCCAAGCAUGCUUCCGAGAAAAUCUUCUAAGCAUAACAGUUAAGAGGCCCGUACCGUAAACCGACACAGGUGGUCGAGGAGAGUAUCCUCAGGCGCUCGAGUGAGUCACGGUUAAGGAACUAGGCAAAAUGACCCCGUAACUUCGGGAGAAGGGGUCCUCGCAGCGAUGCGAGGCGCAGCGAAAAGGUCCAGGCGACUGUUUAACAAAAACACAGGGCUAUGCAAAUUCGAAAGACGACGUAUAUGGCCUGACACCUGCCCGGUGCCGGAAGGUUAAGAGGGGAUGUCAUUCGCAAGAAGAAGCAUUGAAUCGAAGCCCCGGUAAACGGCGGCCGUAACUAUAACGGUCCUAAGGUAGCGAAAUUCCUUGUCGGGUAAGUUCCGAC
rnacentral:rRNA from 1 species